rnacentral:rRNA from 1 species
GGGUUGUGAGGUUAAGCGACUAAGCGUACACGGUGGAUGCCCUGGCAGUCAGAGGCGAUGAAGGACGUGCUAAUCUGCGAUAAGCGUCGGUAAGGUGAUAUGAACCGUUAUAACCGGCGAUUUCCGAAUGGGGAAACCCAGUGUGAUUCGUCACACUAUCAUUAACUGAAUCCAUAGGUUAAUGAGGCGAACCGGGGGAACUGAAACAUCUAAGUACCCCGAGGAAAAGAAAUCAACCGAGAUUCCCCCAGUAGCGGCGAGCGAACGGGGAGGAGCCCAGAGCCUGAAUCAGUGUGUGUGUUAGUGGAAGCGUCUGGAAAGGCGCGCGAUACAGGGUGACAGCCCCGUACACAAAAAUGCACAUACUGUGAGCUCGAUGAGUAGGGCGGGACACGUGGUAUCCUGUCUGAAUAUGGGGGGACCAUCCUCCAAGGCUAAAUACUCCUGACUGACCGAUAGUGAACCAGUACCGUGAGGGAAAGGCGAAAAGAACCCCGGCGAGGGGAGUGAAAAAGAACCUGAAACCGUGUACGUACAAGCAGUGGGAGCCUCUUAAUGGGGUGACUGCGUACCUUUUGUAUAAUGGGUCAGCGACUUAUAUUCUGUAGCAAGGUUAACCGAAUAGGGGAGCCGAAGGGAAACCGAGUCUUAACUGGGCGUUAAGUUGCAGGGUAUAGACCCGAAACCCGGUGAUCUAGCCAUGGGCAGGUUGAAGGUUGGGUAACACUAACUGGAGGACCGAACCGACUAAUGUUGAAAAAUUAGCGGAUGACUUGUGGCUGGGGGUGAAAGGCCAAUCAAACCGGGAGAUAGCUGGUUCUCCCCGAAAGCUAUUUAGGUAGCGCCUCGUGAAUUCAUCUCCGGGGGUAGAGCACUGUUUCGGCAAGGGGGUCAUCCCGACUUACCAACCCGAUGCAAACUGCGAAUACCGGAGAAUGUUAUCACGGGAGACACACGGCGGGUGCUAACGUCCGUCGUGAAGAGGGAAACAACCCAGACCGCCAGCUAAGGUCCCAAAGUCAUGGUUAAGUGGGAAACGAUGUGGGAAGGCCCAGACAGCCAGGAUGUUGGCUUAGAAGCAGCCAUCAUUUAAAGAAAGCGUAAUAGCUCACUGGUCGAGUCGGCCUGCGCGGAAGAUGUAACGGGGCUAAACCAUGCACCGAAGCUGCGGCAGCGACACUAUGUGUUGUUGGGUAGGGGAGCGUUCUGUAAGCCUGUGAAGGUGUACUGUGAGGUAUGCUGGAGGUAUCAGAAGUGCGAAUGCUGACAUAAGUAACGAUAAAGCGGGUGAAAAGCCCGCUCGCCGGAAGACCAAGGGUUCCUGUCCAACGUUAAUCGGGGCAGGGUGAGUCGACCCCUAAGGCGAGGCCGAAAGGCGUAGUCGAUGGGAAACAGGUUAAUAUUCCUGUACUUGGUGUUACUGCGAAGGGGGGACGGAGAAGGCUAUGUUGGCCGGGCGACGGUUGUCCCGGUUUAAGCGUGUAGGCUGGUUUUCCAGGCAAAUCCGGAAAACUAAGGCUGAGGCGUGAUGACGAGGCACUACGGUGCUGAAGCAACAAAUGCCCUGCUUCCAGGAAAAGCCUCUAAGCAUCAGGUAACAUCAAAUCGUACCCCAAACCGACACAGGUGGUCAGGUAGAGAAUACCAAGGCGCUUGAGAGAACUCGGGUGAAGGAACUAGGCAAAAUGGUGCCGUAACUUCGGGAGAAGGCACGCUGAUAUGUAGGUGAAGUCCCUCGCGGAUGGAGCUGAAAUCAGUCGAAGAUACCAGCUGGCUGCAACUGUUUAUUAAAAACACAGCACUGUGCAAACACGAAAGUGGACGUAUACGGUGUGACGCCUGCCCGGUGCCGGAAGGUUAAUUGAUGGGGUUAGCGGUAACGCGAAGCUCUUGAUCGAAGCCCCGGUAAACGGCGGCCGUAACUAUAACGGUCCUAAGGUAGCGAAAUUCCUUGUCGGGUAAGUUCCGACCUGCACGAAUGGCGUAAUGAUGGCCAGGCUGUCUCCACCCGAGACUCAGUGAAAUUGAACUCGCUGUGAAGAUGCAGUGUACCCGCGGCAAGACGGAAAGACCCCGUGAACCUUUACUAUAGCUUGACACUGAACAUUGAGCCUUGAUGUGUAGGAUAGGUGGGAGGCUUUGAAGUGUGGACGCCAGUCUGCAUGGAGCCGGCCUUGAAAUACCACCCUUUAAUGUUUGAUGUUCUAACGUUGGCCCCUGAUCGGGGUUGCGGACAGUGUCUGGUGGGUAGUUUGACUGGGGCGGUCUCCUCCUAAAGAGUAACGGAGGAGCACGAAGGUUGGCUAAUCCUGGUCGGACAUCAGGAGGUUAGUGCAAUGGCAUAAGCCAGCUUGACUGCGAGCGUGACGGCGCGAGCAGGUGCGAAAGCAGGUCAUAGUGAUCCGGUGGUUCUGAAUGGAAGGGCCAUCGCUCAACGGAUAAAAGGUACUCCGGGGAUAACAGGCUGAUACCGCCCAAGAGUUCAUAUCGACGGCGGUGUUUGGCACCUCGAUGUCGGCUCAUCACAUCCUGGGGCUGAAGUAGGUCCCAAGGGUAUGGCUGUUCGCCAUUUAAAGUGGUACGCGAGCUGGGUUUAGAACGUCGUGAGACAGUUCGGUCCCUAUCUGCCGUGGGCGCUGGAGAACUGAGGGGGGCUGCUCCUAGUACGAGAGGACCGGAGUGGACGCAUCACUGGUGUUCGGGUUGUCAUGCCAAUGGCACUGCCCGGUAGCUAAAUGCGGAAGAGAUAAGUGCUGAAAGCAUCUAAGCACGAAACUUGCCCCGAGAUGAGUUCUCCCUGACUCCUUGAGAGUCCUGAAGGAACGUUGAAGACGACGACGUUGAUAGGCCGGGUGUGUAAGCGCAGCGAUGCGUUGAGCUAACCGGUACUAAUGAACCGUGAGGCUUAACCUUACAACGCCGAAGGUGUUU